rnacentral:rRNA from 1 species
ACGGAAUAGAUACCCCGGUAGUCCACGCCCUAAACGAUGUCUACUAGUUGUCGGGGAUUCAUUUCCUUGGUAAACGCAGCUAAACGCGCGAAAGUAGACCGCCUGGGGAGUACGGCCGCAAGGUUAAAACUCAAAGGAAUUGACGGGGACCCGCACAAGCGGUGGAUGAUGUGGAUUAAUUCGAUGCAACGCGAAAAACCUUACCUACGCUUGACAUGCCAGGAAACUUUCCAGAGAUGGAUUGGUGCCCGAAAGGGAACCUGGACACAGGUGCUGCAUGGCUGCCGUCAGCUCGUGUCGUGAGAUGUUGGGUUAAGUCCCGCAACGAGCGCAACCCUUAUCCUUAGUUGCUACGCAAGGGCACUCUAGGGAGACUGCCGGUGACAAACCGGAGGAAGGUGGGGAUGACGUCAAGUCCUCAUGGCCCUUAUGUGUAGGGCUUCACACGUCAUACAAUGGUCGGUACAGAGGGUCGCCAACCCGCGAGGGGUAGCCAAUCCCAGAAAACCGAUCGUAGUCCGGAUUGCAGUCUGCAACUCGACUGCAUGAA